rnacentral:rRNA from 1 species
AUGCAGAAUGAGAAUAAAAUGCAUUGGCUUAAAUGGGAGAUAAUGACAAAGCCAAAUGGAGAAGUAGGACUGGGAUACAAGGAUAUGUAUAUGUCAAACCUGUCAAUGCUGGCCAAGCAGGCAUGGAUGCUGCUUACAAAUCCGAGUUCUCUAUGUGCCCAAGUACUCAAGGCUAGGUACUAUCCGGAUAUAGAGGUAAUUCAAUCGGAGUAAAAGAGUGGAAUAUCAUAUGCAUGGCGAAGUAUUCUCAAAGGCAUUGACAUUCUGAAAUAA